rnacentral:lncRNA from 1 species
AUUUAGCCUGUAAGUCUAACAUUUAGCAAUGCUUGCAUCCCAGACAUACAGUAGAAGAUACAUUAAAUUCUGAAGGUAGCUGUGCUGCAAAAUAAUGUAAAAGUAAACAGUUGUACAGUAUUUAUGCUCAAAAUUUCAGUUCCAGACCUAGCGUGUAACCACUGGCAUUGUUAUUCUUGCCAUCCAGGAGAGCUGACAGUGUCAUUUGGAUACCUGGCUUUAGGGUCUCAGUGUAUUCUAAACCUGUUAGGCUAGAGUUGUUCACUUAGCCAGAAGCAGGUGUCAGGGUUGAUCAGAUACUUGGGUAUUCCAAAGUGAGUGUUUGUAUUAGUCUGUUUUCACACUGCUAGUAAAGAUAUACCUUGGGACUGGGUAAUUUAUAAAGGAAAAGGUUUAAUGGACUCACACAGUUCCACGUGGCUGGAGAGGCCUCACCAUUGUGGGGGAAGGCGAAAGGCACAUCUUACAUGGUGGCAGGCAGGAGAGAAAAUGAAAGCCAAGUGAAAGGAGUUUCCCCUUAUAAAACCAUCAGAUCCCGUGAGACAUUCACUACCAUGAGAACAGUAUGGGGAAACUGCCCCCAUGAUUCAAUUAUCUCCCACCAGGUCGGUCCCACACACGUGGGAAUUAUGGGAGCUACAAUUCAAGAUUAGAUUUGGGUGGGGACACAGACAAACCGUAUUAGUGUUAUUGUUUCCUGCUGUCCAGGUGAAAUUGACAGUGGUCUCCAACUUCUUACUCACCUUCUGGUAAAUGGAGCCGCCAAACUGUCCCAUUAUUUACGUUAGUGUGAAGUUGGAAUUCAGACUUGUAACCAACUGCAGAGUUGCUCUGGGUCACUCAGGAUUUUGCAGUCUCAAAAUUUAUCUGUUAGCCAGCCAGUCAACCCUUGUAACCCAGCACCAGAGCGCCCCAGAUGGAAGGUCCAGUGAUGUCAAAAUCCAGGUUACAGCCCAGGUUGAUGUGCUCCUGCUUGUACCUGGUGUUGAUUUUAGCAUUUUUCCCCCAGUAUUAGGUGACAAGGGUGAAUUGAGGGUCAGCUUCAGUCCACUUGCAAGAUGAUCUUCCACAGUAAUCUCAGUCCUGGUGUGUUGUGUGUUUCACUUCAUAAACAUCAGGCCGUACUCAGUCCAUCUGUACUUGGUCUCCAGACUGCCUGUCACUUUGGUGAUUUCAGUGUUGGCUGAGCCUAAGCUUUCAAAUUCCAAUGCAUUCUCAGAUUUUGUUUUCAAAAGGUUUAUUAGGCCAUAUCCGUAGCCCUUGUUGAAGACAUUCCUGGCAGAUUUGCCAAGAUUGGCAUACUUGGGUGGCACAGCCAUCUUCUGCUCAGAGGUGGUGGUGGCAGGCUUGGCGGCAGCUAUGAUGGCGGCUUCAUCAGGGAGGCAUGGAGCAAAGCAAGCAGCCGAAGGUAAAGUCAUCAUCUGAGAAUAAAGCAGAAGGAAAUGGAAGAUGAGAGAGUACAAGAGGUUUGAAAUACUGAUUGCCCGGAAUGGAAGAGUGAACUGACAAAAGAAACAGAGUUUUAGGCAGUGUUGAGGGUUCAGCAGAGCUUGCUGAACUGAAUUCCUUUCUGUCUUUGUCUGAAGAGCUUUGAUGGUGUUUUUUUUGUUGUUUUUGUUUUUUGAGACAGGGUCUUGCUCUGUUGCCCAGGCUGGAGUGUGGUGGUGUGAACACGGCUCACUGCAGCCUUAACCUCAUGGGCUCAAGUGAUCCUUCCACCUCAGUCUCCCAAAGUUUUGGGAUUACAGGAAUGAGACACCGCACCCACCUUUUUCUUGUUUCAAGGCCUUAAACUUUAAGGACUAUUGUGACUCAGG